UCUCUGAGCUCGAAGCAGGUG
rnacentral:snRNA from 1 species